UACGUAGGUGGCGAGCGUUAUCCGGAAUUACUGGGUGUAAAGGGUGUGUAGGCGGGGAGUCAAGUCAGAUGUGAAAAUUAUGGGCUCAACCCAUAACCUGCGUCUGAAACUGAUUCUCUUGAGAGUGGGAGAGGUAAACGGAAUUCCUGGUGUAGCGGUGAAAUGCGUAGAUAUCAGGAGGAACACCGGUGGCGGAGGCGGUUUACUGGACCACAACUGACGCUGAGACACGAAAGCGUGGGGAGCAAUC
rnacentral:rRNA from 1 species